GAAGGAUCAGGUGGCAGCAGUCUGUCAUUUAGACCUUAGGACUUAGCCUGGAGAGCUGAGCUGACACAGGGAGCCCCCCAGGCUGACUGCCAUGCCUGUGGGUGGGCCUCUGAGGCUCUCACUGGCUCUAGGCCUUUAGAGAGAGCAGCCAGGGCAGAUGAUUUCAUGGGCAAUGUCUCUGACUGUCUUGGGCAGAUUUGGAAAGUCAGGAGUAACUCACAGUGAUGGCACACCCUGUCACAGCUGGGCUGCGGACCAAUGUACACCCAGACCAAUUCACACUGCACACUUCCAGAUGAUGAAAGAGGUUCAGAAAGAUUUUAAAAUCCUUUCGGAGUUGCAUGAGCGGCUGAGAUGGAAUUUGAACUCAACUGUCUUCCUCAUUCCUGAUUCAUAAUAAAAUAAUAAUAAUAGCUGCAACAUUUAUUGAGAAUUUGCUAGGUAUCAGUGUAAGUUCUACAUGGUCCUGACUUUCCUGACAAUACAGCAUACAAGCUUGCUCCUUCACUUGCCUAGUUGUCUUUAGAACACAAGUACAUCAAUGGUGAAUUUAUUUAUUUUUAACGUUUUUUAUGUAACGAAAGUAUCCAUCUUCUGUAGAAACAGCAUUUCUUUCCUCCUGAAUUAUCUGGUAGUAGUCUUUCUUUUAAUAAUAUGCAAUUUUACCUACUUUUCCUAAAAUUUCAUUACUAAGGAGAUGGCUUAGAGUAGGUUCUUUCUUCUUAGGCAACUCACUCUCUUUUGUUUCUGCAGUUGAAAAAAAGCAGGAGGGGAUUCACACAGCCAAACCAUACCAGGAAUCUACUACACAUUUUUUCUUCAGGCCUCCCCUGUUGAAAACCAGGCACUUGCUUGAAUAGCUUUAUGUCAGCUUCUAGUUUGACAGGUCAAGGCUGAGGACUACAUCAUUUUCUGGCAUGACCUAUGAGAUACUACGUGUUCCUGUAUUUUCAAGGCAGUUGUGAAUCAAUAUAUAACAUAGUGGUUAAGAGGUUGGGUUCUGGAACCUCAAUGCCCGGGUUUAAAUCCCAGUUUCUCCAAGUUUCGUUUUGUUUUGUUGACACACGGUCUUGCCCUGUCACCCAGGCUGUAGUGCAGUGGCACAACGACAGCUCACUGCAGCCUCAACCUCC
rnacentral:lncRNA from 10 species